rnacentral:lncRNA from 1 species
AUCUCUAAAGCAGCUUACCACAUAAGUGAGAAUCGGUGAAAAUAAGCAAAGUGUUUGGUGGGAUUCUCACUUAUUUCCACUAAUAAACCGCUUAUAAGCGAAAAUAAAUGGGUGUACCAACUGGCACGUAUUUUAUUCCCUCCCAGCCUGCCUCGCUCCCUCUCCCUAGCUGUUCCCCUCCCCUCCCGACGCCUCGCCUCUUCCUCCUCCACCCUGGCCCCCUCGCACUCCUCCCCGCUGG